rnacentral:lncRNA from 1 species
AACUACGGUAGAAGCUGUUGCCAAGGUUCCGACCAGAAAAGAAAGCCAGUAUAAAAGGGUCCACACCACUGAUCUCUACUACAGGCGAUGGACAGCACAUCGAGCGCCCUCGACUGAAGCCAACCUUGUCCCGGAAGUUGGUGCGUCACAACUUUGCAGCAGCACUUCGUCUGCACGGCCUGUGGAGACAAGAUUUCUUAGACAUGGCCAUGACCCUCAAGGAAGGUGCCGAGGCCACAGGCAGUUCCUCCAGUGACCGGGAAAAGGUCCCCUGAGGCACAAGUCUAAUUUGGCACCCCCACCUUUCUCCUGCAGCUUUUCUGUCUACUUAGCUAACUAGCAGCAAGUUUAUCCUUGCAAGGCGUUUGGGGUCAAGAACAACUUUCACCAGGAAAAAGUGCAAGACGAGUGAUUGAAGAAAAUAAAGUUGCUUCUGUGAUCUAAUAA